CUGGAAGGACCUGCUUGUGGGAAUGAUCUUGUCUUCCUUCCGCAAGUGGGCAGGCUGAGGCCAGAAGAGGCUGCUUCACACAAAGCUCUCUUUUGGUUGUGGGUAGACCGGUGGCUGGGUUUGGAUCCUCAGUUGGUGGCUGCAGCCAUUCUGUGCUCAAGGGUAACCUACUGUGUAGAACUGUGCCCGGAUUACCGUGGUUGGUGCAGUCCAGCUGCCGUAGCUUUGCAAGGCUGCUACCAGCGAGAGAGAAUUCAUUCUGCAGCUACGAUUCACCAGAGGAAGCUGGAACUUCGCACACAUACCCCACGUACCAGCUGCCAUUCCAGGCUGGAUCAAGUGAAUCAAGAUUGCGAGACUCUCCAAAUGUCAUCACUCCCUUGAGGGCUGAUUGGACACGAACCUGACACUUCCCGAAAUGCUUUGUAUGAGCAUUGUGCCGAACUCAGACAUGCGCAGGUUUGUUGUAAAGUGUCUGGAUAAUGUGGCUGGAAUUGUUUUGUGGACAGCUCUAUGCACGUCGACAAGCAAGAGUGGGUUUGAACGUGCAUUUCCUGUCGCUGUCUAAAGCCGGGGAUCAGAGCGCCCGUGCCUGGUGCCUUUCUUCCUGACACGUAAAUGAGUGAUUUCUAGGGAUCUGACGACGAGUGCCCUGUGGAGUGGCCAUCUCACGAAGACCCACAGAGUCUGUGGAGAGGUCGUUGGGAAAACUGGAAAUAGUGAAUGAAAGAGCCUGGCCCUUAUCACAGCUCUUUCUGGGAGAAGAGACACUCGCCGGUGGCAAGUCGGGAUGACGAAGGCGCCCUGAAGGGCGCGCGCUUUUAUGUAACCGACAUCGGUACCUGGGGUCCCUCGUUAGGCACCGAGAGCCCAGGCGUCAACAAAGGACGGCGCGCCCGCCUUAUUUCAUUGCAAAGAGGGGACAGCAAAGCGAAAUAAGUUAGGGAAGUCCUGAGAGCCUUAUAAAGAGCGGGCGGCUCGCCCGGUUGCCGCUCCCCAGAGCACGCCAGGGCGAUCCCGGACUCCCCGCCCUGACCGCUCUCCCGGCCCGGACUCCCCGCCCUGACCGCUCUCCCGGCCAGGCCUCUGUCUCCCCUCCCGGGAACGCUCGCCCGGUGACCUUGGGCGAGCCGCCCGACCUCUCCGGGCCUCAGUUUCCCGGCCUCUGCGUCUGCCAGCGCCGUGACCCUACAGCAGGACUCCCCCGCGCCCCCGGAGCUGGAGCAGAGCGCCCCGCGGGCCGGAGGCGCCGGGACGCCCUUCCCCGAGGACGGCGGCGCGGCUGGGGGCGGUCC